rnacentral:lncRNA from 10 species
CGCCUCCCUGGUUGCCGUGGCGACUGGAGGCACGCGACGCGGGCGCGAUGGCGGGGACUCUAGGCCCGGGACUUGAUGCUGCUUGGGCCUGGCCCAGUGGCGGGUCCUGGGGACGUGGCAGAGGCUGGCAGACUUUCAGAAGGUGAUGGAUGGGAUAUUCUGAGAGUUGGAAGGCAGGCUUUGAGCCACAGAGAGCCACUGCAACAUUUGAAGAUUCUGGUGAUGAUGCUGACUGCCUGGCCACCUAAGAGGAAGAAAGGCCACCAAUUCCUGUAAUAUCUGGGGGCCAGAACAGGGGAUGUCCUGGAUACUUCCAAAUGGCAAGAUUUGGAAUUCAGUCUUCUAACCUAGCCAUGGUUUCAUAUUCCAGGACUUUUUGGUUGGCGGGACACAGAUACUGGCCCUUCAAGGCAGAAUUCAGGCGAUGGGUGAGUCCCUGUGACAGGUGGACAUGCCCAGCAGGCUGCAUUUACCCUGCUGAUCUGUGGGCUAUUUUCACCCUUCUCGGUGAGUGCUUUUUUUCUACUCUGAUGCCAGUCUCAUCCCCUGAGGAUGGCCCAUGGAAAAUCACCCCUUCUCAGAAACCUGCUUUUCACAUGAGCUGUCUAGUGGGAAUCUUGAACUGGGAGCUUCGUAGGUUGUCCAGCUGCCCCUACUCCCAUCUUGAAGGCCCUGCCCAGAGCAGAUGUUCUGGAAAUAUGUGAUGCAGGAAUGUAUAAACCCGGUUCAGUUCUCUCAUUGAGAAGAUGAAGAAACUUAGAUUUAAAAAAAUAAUAACUUGUCACACAGAGAGUGGGUGACAAAGAUGAGAAAUGACAAAAAACGGGAAAUGGGAAACAGAUCAAUAUCGAUUCUUUCCAGUAUCAAUUUGUGAGUAGAAACAGCCUAUAUUGAACAGUCUCCAAAUAACUAGGAAGAAAAAUGUAAUUAAAGCUUUUAUUCUCAAAUUGUAAAAUCUGUGAAGAACUGAUCAGACUUUCUGCUUCUUUUUUAAAAAGAUUUUUUUGCCUCUUAAUACAAAAGUCCAAUAGCCACAUGAAAAUUGGAAAUAUGUGAGUAACAUAAAGAAGGAAAACAAAUUCGGCUGUACGUUUAGAAUCCCAAAGAAAACUAUCGUCAACAUCUUGAUGCAUCCAAAUGUAAUCUUUAUUUAGUGUUUUUUCUUGUAAAAACACUUUUUAACAAAACAGUUGUAAUCAUACUGUGAUUUUGUGUACUUUUUGUUUUUUAUUUUUAAUAUUACAAUAUUUUCCCCUAGUUCUCCAAGUUAUUAAAAAAAUCUUUAUAAAUAGAAUUCAUAUGGUUGUAUAAUUUUUCAGGAAAUUGAUAUAACAAUAACAUAAAGACCCCUUAUGGUUCAAUUUUACAUUGUUUCCAAGGCUACCUUACUAUAAGUAUUGUUGCUAUGAAUAUCUUUGUGGGAAAGGGGAUGGAUUUCCAUUUUUGGAACUUUUUUCCUUAGGAUGGAUUCCCAGUCAUAGAAUUACUGAAUCAAUAUCAGGUCCAUUUUCAAGGCUCAGGUUAUUUGUUACUUGAAAUCCACAUUGCCAAAUUGUUGUCCAAAAUAAUGAUAUAAAUUUAUAUGCUCACUAGCAGUAUGUGAGAGACUAUUUUCUCAUACCUUAAUGAACAUUGUUUUUAUCAUUUAAAAAUAUUUCCAGCCAUGAGCCCGUAGUCCCAGCUACUCAGGAGACUGAAGCGGGAGAAUGGCUUGAGGCCAGGAAGUCAAGACUAUGGUGUGCUAUGAUACCACCGGUGAAUAGCUACUGCACCAGCAGGUUGUCCACCCUGGGCAACACAGUGAGACCCUGUCUCUAAAAAAAAAAUUAAUAUUUCCUAAUUUGUAAGGUAAAAAUUGAUACAUUUGAGUUGCUUUAAUUUCUAUUUUCUCAGUUCUCCAUGAGGUUGAACAUUUUCUCAUUUAAAGUACUGGUCAUAUUUUUAUUCUUUUUAUUUUUAUUUUUUUUUGGGGGGGGGGUGGAGUCUCACUGUCGCCCAGGCUGGAGUGCAGUGGCGCUAUCUCAGUUCACUGCAACCUCCACCUCCUGGGUUCAAGCGAUUCUCUUGCCUCGACUGACCGGUGAGUAUCUGGGAUUACAGGUGCGGGUGCCACCACACCUGGCUAAUCUUUGUAUUUUCAGUAGAGACAGGGUUUCACCAUGUUGGCCAGGCUGGCCUCGAACUCUUGAUCUCAAGUGAUCCGCCCACCUUGGCCUCUCAAAGUGCUGGGAUUACAUGCAUGAGCCACCUCUCACCCAGUCUAUAUUUUUAUUAUUUUUAAAAUUUGUGUGUGACCUUGCCUGUUUAUCUGUUAGAAUAUUAGUGUUUUGUGUCAAUUUAUAUUAACUUUUUAUCUAUUAUAGAUAUAAUUUUUAUAUCUGUUACAAAUAUACUUUUCCAGUUUUUGUUUGGCUUUUUAAAAGCUAAAUGAAAAUACAAUAAAUUGUACACAAAGUGCAAAAUUAGACAAAGUUGAACCUACACCAUCAACACAAUCAAGACAAUGAACUUAUUUAUCACCUCCAAAAGUUUUCUUUGACUUGUUCAUUCCCCAUCCCCAGGCGACCACUGAUCUGCUUUCUGACACUAAGUUUUUCUAGAAUUCAUGUUAGUGAAAUCAUAUAAUAUGUACUCUCAUUUUGUUAAUACUUUUUCACCUAGCAUUAUUAAUUUUGGCUUCAAUCAUGUUGUGUCUAACAAUAGUUCAUUCUCUUUUUCAUUGCUGAGUAGUAUUCCAUUGUAUGGUGUUGCCAAUUUAUUUAUUCAUUCCCCUGUUAAUGGACAUUUUGUUUCCAGAUCUUUGCUAUUGCAAAUGAAUAUGCUAUGAGCAUAUUGUAUAAGUCACCUGCAAGUCUUCCUGUGGACAUGUGCUUUUGUCACUCUUGGAAAAAUAAUACCUAGUAGUGGAAUGGCUGGAUCAUAUAGUAAGUGGAUAUUUAAUGUUUUCAGAAAUUGGCAAACUGUUUUCUACAUCAGUUAUACCAUUGUAUGAGAGUUUUAAUUUCUUCACCUCCUCACUAACAUUGUGAGUAGUCAGUCUUUUAAUUAAUUUAAUUUAAUUUAAUAGAUUUGUAGUGGUGUAUCAUCACAGCUUUAAUUUGCAUUUUUCUGUUGUGGAAUGCUGUCAGCCUUUUUCCAUGUGCUUAUUCCUCACUGUAUUCCUUCUUUAAUGAAGUAUCCUUCAAAUCUUUUGCCCAUUUUUUUUUGUUUGUUUUUUUAAUUAUUGAGUUUUGAUGGUUAUUUAUAUAUUCUGUAUACAAGUACUUUAUUAGAUAUAUAAUUUGCAAAUGUUUUCUUCCUGUCCGUGGCUUCUUUCUUCCAUUUUCUUGGUAGUGUCUUUUGAACAGCAGAAGUUUUAAGUUUUAAAUUUUGAUGAACUUCAGUUUAUCAAUUGGCUCCUUUCUGAAUUAAGCUUGGCAUUGUAUCUAAGUAUUUUUUGCUUAACCCAAGGUUACAAAGUUUUCUCCUAUGUUAUUUUCUCAAAGUUUUACCUAUCUUGGCAAAUACAUAUCCAAUUGCUCUGACCCAUUUAAAAAAGAAAUUAUCCUUUUGUCACAGUAUUACCUUUGCACUUUUGUUGAAAAUUAGUAGUCUGGAUAUGUGAAGGUCUAGCUCUGUACUCUAUUCUAUUCUAUUUGUCACUUUUUCAAUCUUUAUGUCAAUACCACCGUGUCUUGACUACUGUAAUUUUAUAUGUCCUAAGUCAGGCAGUGUUAGUACUCAAAAGUUGUUUUUCUUUUUCAUAGCUCUUUUGGCUAUUCCAGAUCAUGUUUUUAUAUGAACUUCUAGAAUAAGUUGGUCAAUUUCUACAAAAUCAUCUGCUGGAAUUUUGAUUAGGAUUGCAUUGAGUUUGUAGAUGAACUAAGGAAACAACUGAAAAUAUAAUUUCACUUAUUGAUUAAUGAGCAUAUGAUAUCCAUGUAUUUAAGUCUCUUUUAAUAUCUUUCAGCCAUAGUUUUCAGUAUGCAGGUCUUUAACAUCUGCUUUAGUCAGGCUUCUCUUUAGGGACAGAUCUUUAGCCAGAUCUCUCUCUAAGUAUUUCAUGUUAUAUAAUGCUAUUAUAAAUGGUAUUGUUUUUAUAAUUUUAAUUGCUAG